ACCUAGCUUGAAACAAAUAAGUUUUAACCGACUCCAACACAAAGAUUUAGUAAACACAUCUGCGAGUUGAUCGGUAGACUUCACAAAAGGUGUAGCAAUGUCAUCACUUAGUAUCUUAUCUCGAAUGAAGUGACAAUCAAUCUCUAUAUGUUUAGUCCUCUCAUGGAACACAGGAUUAGAGGCAAUAUGCAUUGGGGCUUGAUUAUCACAAAAUAAUUGAAGAGGGGUAGGAGUUGGAAACCCAAUCUCUUGAAGGAAGUGUUGCAACCAUGCCAGCUCACUAGUAGUGUGAACCAUUGCCCUAUAUUCAGCUUCUGCACUAGACCGAGCUACUACUGCUUGUUUCUUACUCUUCCAUGUAGCCAAGUUACCUCCUACAAAGGUACAAUAUCCAGUAGUAGAUCUUCUAUCUGAAGGGGAUCCUGCCCAAUCAGCAUCUGAAAAGGCUUCAACCCUAAGAUGUCCAUUUGGUCGAUACAUUAAUUCAAGGCCAGGUGCUCACUUAAGAUAACGAAGAAUAUGAAUUACAGUAUCCUAAUGUGAGACCCUAGGUGUUUGUAAAAAUUGACUAAGUACACUCACUGCAUAAGAGAUGUUUGGUCUAGUGAUAGUGAGAUAAUUUAAUUUCCCAACAAGUCUUUGAUACCUACCUAGAUUUCCAAACAUGCCUUCACCAACUGUUUCCAUUUUCGAAUCCUGAGUUACCUAGUACUUUAUACUCUCCACCUAUUGCUCUUUGCAAAGACAGUUCAGGAUGCUUUAUCUGAUCCGGGAUGGAGGACAGCUAUGAAAGAUGAAAUGGAUGCCCUUCACCAUAAUGAGACAUGCGAUCUUGUUCCACUACCACCUGGUAAGCAUCCUGUUGGCUGUAAAUGGGUAUAUACAAUCAAAUUUCAUCCUGAUGGUUCUGUGGAACGUCUGCAAGCCUGCCUGGUUGCUAAGUGUUACACUCAAACAUAUGGCAUUGAUUACGAGGAGACUUUCUCCCCGAUUGCCAAAAUCUCCUCUAUUCGAGUGUUGAUCUCUCUUGUUGCUAAUUUAGACUGGCCCUUAUUUCAGUUGGAUGUUAAGAAUGCAUUUCUGCAUGACGACUUGCAUGAAGAAAUUUAUAUGGAGCAACCGCCUGGGUUUGUUGCUAAGGGAGAGUGUUAGAGUAGGUAAUGGUAGAGGAUCACACUCAACACUUGAAGCUGCGUCAGAGAAAUAGGGUAUGGACUCAAAAAAGGUAACAUCAACACUCGUGAAGUAACGUCUAAGAACAGGACUAUAACAACGAUAUCCUUUUUGAGUCCGAGAAUAACCAACAAAAAAACACUUGGUAGAACGUGGAUCAAGCUUAUCAAAACCUAGGCCAAAGUUAUGAACAUAGUAAACAUACCCAAAAAUUUUUGGAGGAAGGGUAAAUGGUGGAGAUGAAGGAAACAAGAUGGAGAAAGGAGAGGAACCAUCGAGAACUGAUGAAGGCAUACGGUUAAUAAGGUGACAAGCAGUAAGAACACCAUCACUCCAAAACCGUUUAGGAACAUGCAUGUGCAGUAAAAGUGCUCGGGUUACAUCUAAUAAAUAACGAUUUUUACGUUCAGCCACCCUAUUCUAUUGGGGUGUAUAAGAACAUGAAGUUUGAUGAACAAUUCCUUUGCUACUUAAGAAUACUACGGCACUAGAUAGAUAUUCUCUAGCAUUACCAGAACGCAAAAUCUGAACCCUUUUGUGAAAUUGAGUUUUAAUUUCUUUCCAAAACACUUUGAAUAUAGAAAGGAGUUCAGAUCUUGCCUUCAUUAGAAACACCCAUGUCACACGAGAGUAGUCAUCAAUAAAUGUGACAAAAUAUUGAAAUGUGUUUGAUUCAAUGUUGAUUGGUCCCCAUAUAUCAGAGUGAACCAAUUCAAAAGGACUCAAGGCUCGUUUAUCAACUCGAGGUAUAAACGACACACGAUGAUGUUUAGUAAUUUGACAUGCUUCACAAGGAAAGGGAGACACAUUUCCUAGAUUCCUGACCUGACACUUUAAAAGGGAAAGAGAAGGAUGACCAAGAUGACAAUGCCAUUCAUAAGCAGAUGAUGUGGAUGUAAGGGCUCGAGUGGGUGACUGUUUAACAUCAAGAUAAUACAAGCCACCAGCUUCAUGCCCCGUACCAAUAUUGUUUCCCGUCUUGAGAUCCUGAAA